rnacentral:rRNA from 1 species
GAUGAACGCUGGCGGCGUGCUUAACACAUGCAAGUCGAACGAAGACGUCUGAGUGCUUGCACUUGGAUGGACUGAGUGGCGGACGGGUGAGUAACGCGUGGGUAACCUGCCUUAUACGGGGGGAUAACAGUUGGAAACGACUGCUAAUACCGCAUAAGGGACCAGUAUCGCAUGAUACAGUGUGAAAAACUCCGGUGGUAUAAGAUGGACCCGCGUCUGAUUAGUUAGUUGGUGAGGUAACGGCCCACCAAGGCGACGAUCAGUAGCCGGCCUGAGAGGGUGAACGGCCACAUUGGGACUGAGACACGGUCCAAACUCCUACGGGAGGCAGCAGUGGGGAAUAUUGCACAAUGGGGGAAACCCUGAUGCAGCGACGCCGCGUGAGUGAGGAAGUAUUUCGGUAUGUAAAACUCUAUCAGCAGGGAAGAUAAUGACGGUACCUGACUAAGAAGCACCGGCUAAAUACGUGCCAGCCGCCGCCGUAA